GCUGAUGUGGUGUAAUGGGGUAUACAUUUCUUUUGAGAAUAAAGAAUGGGUUCAACUCCCAUCAUCAGCA
rnacentral:tRNA from 1 species